AAAAUAGAAAAGGUUUGACUUCGAAUCAAAUAAUGAUUUAUGUCCUAUUUUA
rnacentral:tRNA from 1 species